GACGGAGGAUGCACGCGUUAUCCGGAAUGAUUGGGCGUAAAGCGUUCGCAGGUGGCUGUUCAAGUCUGCUGUCAAAGACCGGGGCUUAACCCGAGAAAGGCAGUGGAAACUGGACGGCUGGAGUGCAGUAUGGGUAGAGGGAAUUCCCAGUGUAGCGGUGAAAUGCGUAGAGAUUGGUAAGAACACCGGUGGCGAAAGCGCUCUGCUGGACUGCAACUGACACUGAGGGACGAAAGCUAGGGGAGCGAAAGGG
rnacentral:rRNA from 1 species